rnacentral:misc_RNA from 1 species
GAAAUGCGAUAAGUGAUGUGAAUUGCAGAAUUCAGUGAAUCAUCGAAUCUUUGAACGCACAUUGCGCCCGCCAGCACUCUGGCGGGCAUGCCUGUUCGAGCGUCAUUUCAACCCUCAGAACCCCUUGCGGGAUCUGGCGUUGGGGAUUGGCAUCCAGCCAGCCCCGAAAUCUAGUGGCGGUCCCUCCGCGACCUCCCCUGUGCAGUAGCGAUACCUCGCAGCGGGACAGCGGUCUGACCACGCCGUAAAACCCCCAACUUCUCAAGGUUGACCUCGAAUCAGGUAGGAAUACCCGCUGAACUUAAGC